UACGGAGGGGGCUAGCGUUGUUCGGAAUUACUGGGCGUAAAGCGCACGUAGGCGGCUUUGUAAGUUAGAGGUGAAAGCCCAGGGCUCAACCCUGGAAUUGCCUUUAAGACUGCAUCGCUUGAACAUCGGAGAGGUAAGUGGAAUUCCGAGUGUAGAGGUGAAAUUCGUAGAUAUUCGGAAGAACACCUGAGGCGAAGGCGGGCUACUGGGCCGAUACUGACGCUGAUGCGCGAAAGCCAGGGGAGCGAACGGG
rnacentral:rRNA from 1 species